rnacentral:RNase_P_RNA from 1 species
CCAGCCGGCCGGACGGCCGCGUCGUCCGCAAGGGCGCCGAGGAAAGUCCGGGCUCCACGGAGACACGGUGCCGGAUAACGUCCGGCGGGGGCGACCCCAGGGAAAGUGCCACAGAAAUCAGACCGCCGCGGGUCCGCCCGCGGCAAGGGUGAAACGGUGCGGUAAGAGCGCACCGCGCGGCCGGCAACGGAAGCGGCACGGCAAACCCCACCGGGAGCAAAGUCGUAUAGGGGUGGCACGAAGCGCGGCCAGAGAUGGCUCUGCUUCAGGUCCCGUCUUCGGACAGCCGCCCGGGUUGACUGCUCGAGGCGCCAGGUAACUGGCGUCCCAGAGGAAUGGCCGUCACGUGGGAGAAAUCCCGCCAUACAAAACCCGGCUUACAGGCCGGCUGGCACC